rnacentral:lncRNA from 1 species
GUGCAUGUUGGAUUGUAUGCUAGAUGAAAUGCAUAUUGAUAUAAGAUAAAAAUGCUAGAUAAUAUGCAUGUUGAUGUAUUGCAGAUUAUGCUUGAUUCAUAUGAGUUGGACACGGGUCGAUAACUCUAGGGUGAUUAGAGAACUCGACAAUGGAAAAUAAAAAUAUGGAAUACUCGAUUUGGACAACUAGGAUGUCAAAUAGAUCGAGUGGCAUUGAACCUAGUGUUAAUAAGCAUAGGUUGGACAUGAAUGAUAUUGAACCUAGUGUUAGUAAACAUAGGUUGGAAUCAUGAGUGGCAUUAAACCUAGUGUUAG